rnacentral:rRNA from 1 species
AUUGAACGCUGGCGGCGUGCUUAACACAUGCAAGUCGUGCGGUAACAGGCGUAGCAAUACGUGCUGACGAGCGGCGAACGGGUGCGUAAUACAUGGGAAUCUGCCUUUUAGUGGGGAAUAACCCGGCGAAAGCCGGGCUAAUGCCGCAUAAGAUCUUCGGAUGAAAGCGGGGGAUCGUAAGACCUCGCGCUGAUAGAUGAGCCCAUGCCGGAUUAGCUAGNGGUGGGGUAACGGCUCACCAAGGCGACGAUCCGUAGCUGGUCUGAGAGGACGGCCAGCCACACUGGGACUGAGACACGGCCCAGACUCCUACGGGAGGCAGCAGUGGGGAAUAUUGGACAAUGGGGAAACCCUGAUCCAGCGACGCCGCGUGUGUGAAGAAGG